GGCCAUAUCGCGUUGAAACUCCAAUUCCCGUAAGAUCAACGAAGUUAAACAACGUCGAGCCUUGUUAAUACCUAGAUGGGUGACAGCUUGGUAAUACCAAGUGCUAUA